UCAGCCACUUUUUUCUUGCCCAUCAAGCAUAUAUUGGAUUUAUAAAUAGAUACAAAGCUCAAUGCAUUUGACACCAGUUCAUUCAAGCAAAACACAAGUGCAAGAGCUCGAAACUAUUAUUCAAACAUCUUACCGGACAUCUAAUGGAAAACACAUCUUGAAUGGGAGACUCGUGUGCCUAACAUUCUGUGAGUGGGAGACUCAUUUGCUAGGGCUGAUUGGUAAGUUUGACUGUUUGAUAUUCAUAUAAUAGCUUCAUUAAAUUGAUAUGAUCAGAAGUGAUUUCUUUUCUUAUCAAUUACACUCAAUAAGAGGGAUUCUAUUGAGUGAUUUCACGUAUCUUCAUUGUAAAAUGAAUUUUUAUAGUGAACAUACACUGCAAUUAAUAAAUAUUGCAGCAUAAAAUCAUUCAUUGUGCGUACUUUUAUUGUAUGUUGCUUUUCUAUUUUUCAUAGGAUAAUGUUGGGUUGAUUGUUUUAUCAUUCUAUUCAAUAUUUCUGUGUUUGCGAAAGCAACAGAACUUUCAAAUUUAGUGAAAUUUUUUUAUUUUAAAUUUUAUUCAUAAUUAAAUUAAAAAAAUAAAAUAGAAAAUCUAUUUGAAGCCCUGCUCCGGGUGGAGUGGCUCUAAGUGCAUCUCCAACCGUGAGCCCUUCCCCAUAAUGGGGUUGGACUCUCUACCUCUAGCUCUCUAAUUUUAUCUUUUAUUAUUUUUUUUAAAUAUAUUUUUAAAUUAAAUUAAACUCGAGCAUGAAUGCUUUUAAAUCUAAAAACAUAUUGAGUUUCGUUGCAUUUCAUUUCAAUUUGCAUCCCUUUUUUUAUUGGAGAUACAGACUCACACACAUAAUAUAAUUCUUCUAAAUGAUUUAAAUUUCUAACAUAUUAAUUAAAAGAAAAAUAAUUUAUUAAUUGCGUUGCGCUUGAUUUUCUUUUUCCUUUUAUUUUUGAGGGAGAAUUUAUUUGCAAUAAAUUUUAGAUUUGGGUGGUAACCGCCAAACGUAGGACCGUUACACAUACAUUCACAUGUAGUCCCCACCCCCACCUAAUACAGCUUCAUGUAUCUUCAUUUCCCGUAAAAGCAGAAAAUUGAAAAUAUCCAAUUAUCUUCAAGUUGAUCUCCUGUGCAUUCAAAUGUAUAGAAAAAACGAGUCGGGUUAAGGUUGGAGUGCGGGUCGGGCUAAGCGGACUAGGCGCAGGCUAG
rnacentral:lncRNA from 1 species